GCCUGGGUGGCUCAGUGGUUGAGCAUCUGCCUUUAGCUCAGGUCGUGAUCCCAGGGUCCUGGGAUUGAGUCCCACAUCGGGCA
rnacentral:tRNA from 1 species